UACGUAGGCAGCGAGCGUUGUUCGGAAUUACUGGGCGUAAAGAGUGUGUAGGCGGUGCUCUAAGUUCGGUGUGAAAUCUCCUGGCUCAACUGGGAGGGUGCGCCGGAAACUGGAGUGCUUGAGCGUGGGAGAGGAAAGCGGAAUUCCUGGUGUAGCGGUGAAAUGCGUAGAUAUCAGGAGGAACACCUGUGGUGUAGACGGCUUUCUGGACCAUAGCUGACGCUGAGACACGAAAGCGUGG
rnacentral:rRNA from 1 species